GAUGAACGCUGGCGGCGUGCCUAAUACAUGCAAGUCGAGCGAACGGACGAGAAGCUUGCUUCUCUGAUGUUAGCGGCGGACGGGUGAGUAACACGUGGAUAACCUACCUAUAAGACUGGGAUAACUUCGGGAAACCGGAGCUAAUACCGGAUAAUAUUUUGAACCGCAUGGUUCAAAAGUGAAAGACGGUCUUGCUGUCACUUAUAGAUGGAUCCGCGCUGCAUUAGCUAGUUGGUAAGGUAACGGCUUACCAAGGCAACGAUGCAUAGCCGACCUGAGAGGGUGAUCGGCCACACUGGAACUGAGACACGGUCCAGACUCCUACGGGAGGCAGCAGUAGGGAAUCUUCCGCAAUGGGCGAAAGCCUGACGGAGCAACGCCGCGUGAGUGAUGAAGGUCUUCGGAUCGUAAAACUCUGUUAUUAGGGAAGAACAUAUGUGUAAGUAACUGUGCACAUCUUGACGGUACCUAAUCAGAAAGCCACGGCUAACUACGUGCCAGCAGCCGCGGUAAUACGUAGGUGGCAAGCGUUAUCCGGAAUUAUUGGGCGUAAAGCGCGCGUAGGCGGUUUUUUAAGUCUGAUGUGAAAGCCCACGGCUCAACCGUGGAGGGUCAUUGGAAACUGGAAAACUUGAGUGCAGAAGAGGAAAGUGGAAUUCCAUGUGUAGCGGUGAAAUGCGCAGAGAUAUGGAGGAACACCAGUGGCGAAGGCGACUUUCUGGUCUGCAACUGACGCUGAUGUGCGAAAGCGUGGGGAUCAAACAGGAUUAGAUACCCUGGUAGUCCACGCCGUAAACGAUGAGUGCUAAGUGUUAGGGGGUUUCCGCCCCUUAGUGCUGCAGCUAACGCAUUAAGCACUCCGCCUGGGGAGUACGACCGCAAGGUUGAAACUCAAAGGAAUUGACGGGGACCCGCACAAGCGGUGGAGCAUGUGGUUUAAUUCGAAGCAACGCGAAGAACCUUACCAAAUCUUGACAUCCUUUGACAACUCUAGAGAUAGAGCUUUCCCCUUCGGGGGACAAAGUGACAGGUGGUGCAUGGUUGUCGUCAGCUCGUGUCGUGAGAUGUUGGGUUAAGUCCCGCAACGAGCGCAACCCUUAAGCUUAGUUGCCAUCAUUAAGUUGGGCACUCUAAGUUGACUGCCGGUGACAAACCGGAGGAAGGUGGGGAUGACGUCAAAUCAUCAUGCCCCUUAUGAUUUGGGCUACACACGUGCUACAAUGGACAAUACAAAGGGCAGCGAAACCGCGAGGUCAAGCAAAUCCCAUAAAGUUGUUCUCAGUUCGGAUUGUAGUCUGCAACUCGACUACAUGAAGCUGGAAUCGCUAGUAAUCGUAGAUCAGCAUGCUACGGUGAAUACGUUCCCGGGUCU
rnacentral:rRNA from 1 species